rnacentral:rRNA from 1 species
CCCUUAGAUGUUCUGGGCUGCACACGUGCUACACUGGCAGGUUCAGCGAGCUUCAUGCCCUGAUCUGAAAGGAAUGGGAAAUCUUUUCAAAACCUGCCGUGCUUGGGAUAGAUGUUUGCAAUUAUUCAUCUUCAACGAGGAUUGCCUUGUAAGCGCACGUCAUCAGCGUGCAUUGAAUACGACCCUGUAUUCUGUACACACCGCCCGUCGCUCCUACCGAUUGAAUGUGUUGGUGAGGAGCUCGGAUUGGCAGCAGUUGGUGGUUCGCCACCGGCUAUUGCUGAGAAGUCCUCCAAACCGCCCCAUUUAGAGGAAGGAGAAGUCGUAACA